rnacentral:rRNA from 1 species
CGCCAGACUCCUACGGGAGGCAGCAGUGGGGGAUAUUGCACAAUGGGGGAAACCCUGAUGCAGCGACGCCGCGUGUGGGAAGACGGUCCUCUGGAUUGUAAACCACUGUCCCCAGGGACGAAGAUGACGGUACCUGGGGAGGAAGCUCCGGCUAACUACGUGCCAGCAGCCGCGGUAAUACGUAGGGGGCAAGCGUUAUCCGGAUUUACUGGGUGUAAAGGGAGCGUAGACGGCAGAGCAAGUCUGAAGUGAAAGCCCGCGGCCCAACUGCGGGACUGCUUUGGAAACUGCCCGGCUAGAGUGCUGGAGAGGUAAGCGGAAUUCCUAGUGUAGCGGUGAAAUGCGUAGAUAUCAGGAGGAACACCGGUGGCGAAGGCGGCCUGCUGGACUGCGACUGACGUUGAGGCCCGAAAGCGUGGGGAGCAAACAGGAUUAGAUACCCCGGUA